GCCAGCAGCCAUCUCACCCUGCAACUCACAACUGGUAACCCACUGAAGCUCAGCAGGUGUGAGCCUGGUCAGUACCUGGAUGGGAGACUCCUGGGAAAAACUAAGGUUGCUGCUGGAA
ensembl:rRNA 5S_rRNA 5S ribosomal RNA